GAGAUCAUCUAGGAAAGGGAUCUCAAAGAGAUUACAAAGGAAAUCUCCCAUAAGCACAAAAGGGCCAUCCAAAGCGAAAUAGAGAGAAGAAGAGCAUCCAAGAGAAUCCCAAAGCUUCCUCUCCAUCCGUGUGCUGCCUCAGUGAUCCUCUACCUCGUGCCAAAUCAGAAGAGGGUCAAGUAAAGAAGAAGCCGAGCUCCUCCAUCUUCAAAACUCGUUUGAGGACUUCACUUUACUCUAUUUGCUUAUAGUGUUAUAUUUGCUUGUUUAAGAAGCUUUGAUUUAUCUUAAACUUUGUUAUAAUAUCUUGUAACUUGAUUCAAUCACGGGAUUGAAUCAAGGGGUAAAGGUUUGUUGGUGAGCCAAAGGGAAAACCAACGGUGUAAGGUUUGUUGGUGAGCCAAAGGGAAAACCAACGGAGAUAGGUUUGUUGGUGAGCCGAGGGUAAAACCAACGUGUAAGGGUUUGAUUGUGAGCCCGGGAAAACAAUCGGAGUGGUUCUAGUCGGUGAGCCUGGGAAAACCGACCGAGUUCGUUGUGCGCUCGUAAAACAACAAGUUGGGUUGUGAGCUUGUAAAACAACCGGCUGUAAUCGGUAGGAUUAUAGUGAAAUUCCCAAGAGGUCUUGGGGAGUGGANNNNNNNNNNNNNNNNNNNNUAUAAUACUAUGCAAUGUCCUUUAUGGUAAUUUUGUCAUAUAAAAGUACUUUCUCAGUUUGUUUACCAAACACAAAACAAAGUACUACAGCAC
rnacentral:lncRNA from 1 species